UCCUGAACUCUCGUUGGAACUUCUCUGAUGGGACGUUUCUUCAGUUCCUGGACUGCUAACCAGAACCUACGUGACAAAGAUGAGAGUUUGCUGGACUUAAGACCAACAGUUAGCUGGAGAAAGUUCAUUAGAGCUAAACUCCGACUCCAGAAACUUGAGGAACUGCUCUCUUCCCACGGGAUCUUUGAGAACCUCAUCAAUCCCGAAAGCCCACCGCUUUACCCUCUGCUGACCCGGUUCCUUACUGGAGGACCACACACAAACACGAGGAUAUUUUUAUGAAAGGUAAACUAGUAAAAACACUCAACGAUCAAUUGUUUUUAAUCAAUGUGUCACCUGGCUUCGAGCUCCCACAGUGUGGUGUCAUCCGAGAUCCAGGGGUUGGAAGGGUCUGGAGGCGUGAGGAAGGGGUCGUAUUCAAAAUACUGCUCCGUGUAACCCACCAAACUGGUUUGAGGUGAAACAAAACAUAUUAAGAACUUGUGAAAAGAGGUUUGUAAAAAAAAAAAAA